rnacentral:rRNA from 1 species
UACGGGGGGAGCAAGCGUUGUUCGGAUUUACUGGGCGUAAAGGGCGCGUAGGCGGCCAGCACAAGUCAGUUGUGAAAUCUCCGAGCUUAACUCGGAAAGGUCAACUGAUACUGUGCGGCUAGAGUGCGGAAGGGGCAACUGGAAUUCUUGGUGUAGCGGUGAAAUGCGUAGAUAUGCGGAGGAACACCGAUGGCGAAGGCAAUCCCCUGGGCCUGCACUGACGCUCAUGCACGAAAGCGUGGGGAGCAAACAGG